rnacentral:miRNA from 1 species
GGACGUCCAGACGCAACUCUCG